AGAGUUUGAUCCUGGCUCAGGACGAACGCUGGCGGCGUGCUUAAUACAUGCAAGUCAACUGAACUUAAGAUAGCAAUAUUUUGAGGGAGGUGGCGCACGGGUGAGUAACACGUAGGUAAUCUGCCUUUAGGACUGACAUAACCCAGAGAAAUCUGGGCUAAUAUCAGAUGAUGCAGCGGCUCGACAUCGAGACAGUUGUUAAACCUUCGGGGCCUAAAGAUGAGCCUGCGUCUGAUUAGGUAGUUGGCGGGGUAACGGCCCACCAAGCCAUCGAUCAGUAGCUGGUCUGAGAGGAUGAUCAGCCACACUGGGACUGAGACACGGCCCAGACUCCUACGGGAGGCAGCAGUGGGGAAUUUUGGACAAUGGGGGCAACCCUGAUCCAGCCAUGCCGCGUGCGGGAAGAAGGCCUUCGGGUUGUAAACCGCUUUUAGCCGGGAAGAAAAGGCGGCUCCUAAUACGGGCUGUUCUUGACGGUACCGGCGGAAUAAGCACCGGCUAACUACGUGCCAGCAGCCGCGGUAAUACGUAGGGUGCGAGCGUUAAUCGGAAUUACUGGGCGUAAAGCGUGCGCAGGCGGUUCGUUAAGUCUGAUGUGAAAGCCCCGGGCUCAACCUGGGAACGGCAUUGGAUACUGGCGGGCUGGAGUGUGGCAGAGGGGGGUGGAAUUCCGCGUGUAGCAGUGAAAUGCGUAGAGAUGCGGAGGAACACCGAUGGCGAAGGCAGCCCCCUGGGCUGACACUGACGCUCAGGCACGAAAGCGUGGGGAGCAAACAGGAUUAGAUACCCCGGUAGU
rnacentral:rRNA from 1 species